UUGGAGUAUGUCUUCUGAAUAUGAUGAAGAACAUUCUACCUCAGUGUCAUUUCCUUUUUAUUCAAUAAAAUCAUGUCGCGAACCUCACUUGAAUUUUGAUUUGGUACUCAAUGUAUGCAAAUGUAUACUGUAUUUGUUUAUCAGAAUUAAUAUGUUGAUUUUUUUUUUUAGGUAAAUAUAAUAUUCUAUUGAAAACUUAUUCUCUCAGCUUUCAAAUGAGGUAUAGGUUUCCUAUCGUGUGUACAUAAUAUAGGUGGUAUAAUUAAAAAUUGUAACUAUGGUAAAAUGGUACCAUGUUUUGCUGGUAAAGGUUGAUCGAUCAAUUACU